rnacentral:lncRNA from 1 species
GAUAGAUGAUUAAAGCAAUGAUAAUAAAAGUGCUAUGAAUUGAAAGUAAUGAAGAUAACUAUGUGCUGAAUAUAAGAGUCUCACUUAUAUCCAAAAUCCAAGGAAUAUUCCUGGCGUCUCACUAAGGAAGAAGAAGAGCCUUUGGAGUCUCACUAAAGGAGAAGAAGAGAAACCUCUCGCCUCUAGAUCAUAAGCAAUUUGCAAGUCAAAAUAUUAUGCAUUGAUUUAUUCAUCAUGUUCACCUUAUUAAAUAGAUGAGGCGUGGGCUUACAAUGAACACUUUGAAAUAUAACUAAACUCUAAAGUUUAAGGCUAAGUAGACUUCCUAAGUAACCUAGGAUUUGGCCUAAGUCAAAACUCAACAAAGCUUCACACCAUGAUCUCACAUGUGGAGGGCUAAGGGAGGUCUCAAUGCGGAUUAGACCUAGUCAAGGGAUUGCCAUAUGCCGGAUCAAUUCCUUGGACUAAGUCAAAAACCUUUCAAGCCUUAUCCUUCCAUACGUGGAGACACAUAGAAAAGUCUUGACCAAGUCAAGGAUUUAUCCCUUCUCCACGUCACAAGCUUCAUCGCGUGAGGAGGUUCAAUCUAGGCUUUGACUAAUUCAACUCCCUCUUCACACUAUAACAUGGACCCUAUGAUGAUGCCACUUGGCAUUCAAUUACAAGGACUUAAUUAGAUGCCACUUGACAACUAAUUACAUGGACUCAAUUGAAGACUCAAAUCAACAAACUUACAACUCAAUUUAGGACUUAAUUUUGGACCUAAUGUGAUAAAACAAACUAAUCAAAAAUCAUCCUAAUCUUCAUGCACACACUUAAGGUUCAUGCACCAUGCUCCUGCAUCAUGCACAAAAGAAGUUCAUUAGAAAACAGUUAGAAUUUUAGUCAUACAUGUGAUGAAUUUAAAAUAUUUGAAACUUCACAUAUUGAUCGUAAGAUGAUCUAGUAUAAGGAUGUUAAUAGUUGGACAUUUCUUAUAUA